GCCCGUUUCAGGUAAUUCAUAAAUUUUCUUCAUUUCUGAGCAAAUACGCUCAAUAGAGCGUUUGAUAUUCCUCAAGCCUUAGCAAUAAUGUCGCGUUUUUCGAAAAUAAUUGGCGACAAGUUCUUUUGAUUUCGAUAGUUUUUAAAAAAAGAAAUAAAUAUUAAACUAUUUUUUUUACUUCGGCUAUGUAGAUCUUUAUCUUUAAAUGACA